rnacentral:rRNA from 1 species
GACGAACGCUGGCGGCGUGCUUAACACAUGCAAGUCGAACGAAGUGGCGAACGGGUGAGUAAUACGUGAGUAACCUGCCCUCCUUUUUGGGAUAAGCCUUGUAAAAGGGGUCUAAUAACGAAUCAAGGGGGAUGGGCUCGCGGCCUAUCAGCUUGUUGGUGGGGUGAUGGCCUACCACGGCGGUGACGGGUAGCCGGCCUGAGGGGGUGACCGGACACAUGGGGACUGAGAUAAGGCCAAGAGUACUGCGUGAGAGAGCAGGGGGGGAUAUGGCACGAUGGGCGAAAGCCUAAUGCAGCGGUGCCGCGUGGGGGAUGAAGGCUGUCGGGUUGUAAACCUCUUUCGAUAUCGAACGGGUAUGUGGAGAAGAAGCGCCGGCUAACUACGUGCCAGCAGACGCGGUAAUUC